rnacentral:rRNA from 1 species
AUGGGGAGAAAGGCGCCUCCUUUUGCUCCGGCCGGGCGGAAACGCAAAGGUCCGUCGCUCCCCUUUCUCUCCCCCGGCAAACGCCGCUUUAUCCCCACUCCGGCGCGGGCAGCCACCGGCUGGGCGUCCCUCCCGGACGACAUAGCCCGCCAGGUCGCCGCGCUGGUGCUGAAAUCCGGCGUCGUGGACUACAUUGCCUUCCGCGCCGUCUGCUCCGGAUGGCGCACCUGCGCGCCCGCUCCGCGUGACCCCACCCUCCGGAUCCCGUCUCUCCGCCCGGUCGGCUGGGUCGCGCUCUGUGACGGCGACGCCUGCCAGAUAACCUUCUUCCACACUCAAACGGCGAGGUGCCUCCGCGUCCGCCUGCCCGAGCUCCGGCGCCACAGGAUCAUUGGCUUCACCGAUGGUCUUGUCAUCCUGCUGCACAAGCGAACCACCGCGGUCCGCGUGCUCAACCCCUUCACAGGCGCCGCGGUUGACUUCCCGUCCCUCGUCCCCGUGUACCAGGAGCUGAUCAAGAACCGCAACUGCGUCCUUGGCAUGAACGCUGCGGUUUGUACUAGUGUAUCAUCCACCACCUCCAUUGCCGUCGUGGCCUGGUUCCCUUGGUCGUCUGUGGUGCUCAGCGCCGAUGCAGGCCACCCGAGCUGGGAGGUCAUCCAAACAGACAUGUAUCUGUCCAACACCUUGCCCUUCCAAGGUCAGCUCUACGGCUUCCUGCAGUCUUCAAGUCUACCCUCCCAGUCCCAAGUCCCAACCCACCCGCCGGUCCUGUUGUUGCUCAUGUUCCACAAAAGUUUGGUAACCCGCCUUUCUGCAAGUACUAUCUCGUGGAGUCCGAUGGAGACAUGCUACUCGUUGUCAAGUCGCCAAAGUUUGUGCACCCUGAUGUAG